AUCACUUCAUGGCCUUUUGGAAAAGAUCAAGCAUAAGUUUCUGUUCUUAUCAGUUUAAGUUCUCAUAAGUCCUCUAUCCCAGGACAACAUACUAAGUGGAUUUCUGGAGCAGGGAGAUGGAAUAGGAACUGCUCUGUCCACGUUGUAUAUCGACCUGGUAUUGUACUACCUUUGGGGAACAGUGAAUCCCUC